CUUUGCACAGUCCUGUAUAUUAACAUUAAAAUGCUGAUUUAUUAAUAUUCCUUUGUCAUGGCUGAUAUGUGACAGGCAGAGGACAGACAUGCAAGACUACUACAAGAAGGGAUAGCUAUGAGGGAGAACCCAAAAAAAGACAUGGAGAGACAGAGACAAUAUAUACACAUGAGAUUAAGAGAGGAGAGGAAACAGGUGGGACUAAUCACAGAAGACGGGACAAAGAAAGUAGACCCAACCCAGAGCACACGAGACAUGCCCUGUAAGGACAUGAGGAGGAAACAGUGACAGAAGGAUCUGUGAGGCUACUGAAGGCGGUGGAUCCCUCAGCAGCUGGAUUACAAAGCGCACAGUCUCAGAUCAGCACAGCCCUGUCCUCCAGCACUAUCAGCAGCAGGAGCAGCAGCAACAUUGUACCCAACAGGCAGACAUAGUCUAUGUUUGCUCUACAUUGCCCCCGCCUGAUGACAGUGAUAUAGUAUGAUGCAAUUCCAUACUAGAUUCUUGAUGAAUGUGUGUUGUUGUUGUUCAGCCUGGUUCUAUGUGCCCAUUUUUUACUUCAAGCACCUGCCCCUUCAAACAUCUCUGCACAGCCCUGGUCCUAUGCAUCACUCUUCAUGGUUGGAACAUGCUUAAAAUAAAUUGCAUAAAAAAUUGAAAUAUCAUACUUCUUCUCUCAAGCAUCUCUUUUU